rnacentral:rRNA from 1 species
CAAGCGGCGGAGCAUGCGGAUUAAUUCGAUGCAACGCGAAGAACCUUACCAAGGCUUGACAUGGGCCGGACCGGGCUGGAAACAGUCCUUCCCCUUUGGGGCCGGGUCACAGGUGGUGCAUGGUUGUCGUCAGCUCGUGUCGUGAGAUGUUGGGUUAAGUCCCGCAACGAGCGCAACCCUCGUUCCAUGUUGCCAGCGCGUAAUGGCGGGGACUCAUGGGAGACUGCCGGGGUCAACUCGGAGGAAGGUGGGGACGACGUCAAAUCAUCAUGCCGCUUAUGACUUGGGCUUCACGCAUGCUACAAUGGCCGGUACAAAGGGUUGCGAUACUGUGAGGUGGAGCUAAUCCCAAAAAGCCGGUCUCAGUUCGGAUUGGGGUCUGCAACUCGACCCCAUGAAGUCGGAGUCGCUAGUAAUCGCAGAUCAGCAACGCUGCGGUGAAUACGUUCCCGGGCCUUGUACACACCGCCCGUCACGUCAUGAAAGUCGGUAACACCCGAAGCCGGUGGCUUAACCCCUUGUGGGAGGGAGCCGUCGAAGGUGGGAUCGGCGAUUGGGU